rnacentral:lncRNA from 1 species
GCUCUGUAUAUGUUAAGCAACAUGACUGACAAAAUUAGCUAUGACUACUCUGCUGCAUUAUGAAAAUAAGGGAAGAGAGAUUAAAUUUAUGUUGCUAUUUUUCAGAAACAUAAAAUUGUAUUACUUAAGAGGGAUUAUAUGCCCAUACCUUUUCUUGAAGUUACCAUGGAUACAGAUACUAUUAUGGAUACUCAACAAUGCUGAAAGCUUUAUAUUGAAUCUGAGCCCUUCCAGUUUAAGUUAUAAAACCUCAAUAACAGUGUGGCUGCAUUGUAUAUCCUGAGAUCAAACCCAUGCAUUCAAAGCAGUGCUACUCAACAUUGCUGCCGUGUCUCUCCUGGAGUCAAGCUCAAUGUAAAUAAAAGGACAACCCUGAGUACA